rnacentral:lncRNA from 1 species
AUCCAGUUUUUGCUUUCUAGAUAAUAGACCUGAUAAAUGACCUAGGGCAGCUUCUGUGCUGUGUAGGGAUUUAAUCAAUUUUAGUGAUUCAAGAAGCUCAAAUUGUAUGGAAAACAAGUUUAGAAUGCAUGCUGUCUAGCCCAUCAUCUCUGAUCCUUCUCUCAAACCAUUUGAAAUGGCUCCACUGAUCAAGAGUUUGUUAAUUCAUCUGUGGUAACAGUGAAGAGCGGCAACCCUUCCUAAUCGGCAAAUGAUCAGAUAAUGUGUGCUGAAGUUUCUUCCAUGCUCUGAGUCAGAUGUCAACUAUUUUGUCCUUCACAAUUGUAUAACUCACAUUGGAGAGUUUAAGCAUUAAAGGAGAAAGAAGGCAACUUGAGUGCCCUAAUUUUAGAAAUUAUAUCUAUCCCUAAAAAUUACUGAAAAUAUGAAUGCUGGGUGGGAAUUAUAAAUGAGAAAAAUAUAUUUAUUUCAGUGAAAUUUUGCAUGUGUGAAAAUUUUGUUAAAUAGGACCUUCAAGAUUCUAGGGUUUGUUUUUAUUUUAUUGUGGAAAACAAAUCUUUUGCUGAUAUUACCAU